rnacentral:rRNA from 1 species
GAUGAACGCUGGCGGCAUGCCUAAUACAUGCAAGUCGAACGACCACACAAUGAGCUUUCUCCUCUAACGUUGGCGGCUGACGGAUGAGUAACACAUGAAUCACAUACCUAUAAUACUUGGAUGACUACGUAGGACCACAUCUAAUACCACCUCAUAUAUUCUACCGCAGAAUUCAAUGGUGAAACAGGCCUUUCGUGUCACUUAUAGCUGGAUCCGCGUCGCCUUAGCUAGUUGGUAAGGUAAAGGCUUACCAAGGCAACGAUGCGUAGCCGAUCUGAGAGGGUGAUCGGCCACACUGGAACUGAGACACGGUCCAGACUCCUACGGGAGGCAGCAGUAGGGAAUCUUGCGCAAUGGGCGAAAGCCUGACGGAGCAACGCCGCGUGAGUGAUGAAGGUCUUCGGAUCGUAAAGCUCUGUUGUUAGGGAAGAAAAAAUGUGUAAGUAUAUAUGGACGUUUUGACGGUACCUAAUGAGAAAGCAACGGCUAACUACGUG